rnacentral:rRNA from 1 species
GUUUGAUCCUGGCUCAGGACGAACGCUGGCGGCGUGCUUAACACAUGCAAGUCGAGCGGAAAGGCCCUUCGGGGUACUCGAGCGGCGAACGGGUGAGUAACACGUGAGCAACCUGCCCCAGGCUUUGGGAUAACCCCGGGAAACCGGGGCUAACACCGAAUAUUACCUCUGAUCGCAUGGUUGGUGGUGGAAAGUUUUUCGGCUUGGGAUGGGCUCGCGGCCUAUCAGCUUGUUGGUGGGGUGAUGGCCUACCAAGGCGACGACGGGUAGCCGGCCUGAGAGGGCGACCGGCCACACUGGGACUGAGACACGGCCCAGACUCCUACGGGAGGCAGCAGUGGGGAAUAUUGCACAAUGGGCGGAAGCCUGAUGCAGCGACGCCGCGUGAGGGAUGACGGCCUUCGGGUUGUAAACCUCUUUCAGCAGGGACGAAGCGUAAGUGACGGUACCUGCAGAAGAAGCGCCGGCCAACUACGUGCCAGCAGCCGCGGUAAGACGUAGGGCGCGAGCGUUGUCCGGAUUUAUUGGGCGUAAAGAGCUCGUAGGCGGCUUGUCGCGUCGACCGUGAAAACCUGGGGCUCAACUCCAGGCCUGCGGUCGAUACGGGCAGGCUUGAGUUCCGUAGGGGAGACUGGGAAUUCCCUGGUGUAGCGGUGAAAUGCCGCAGAUAUCAGGAGGAACACC